UUGUUUUUGUUCUGAUCAUUCAGAAUGUUGUAUCUUCCAAGAGGAUGUAGAAUGAUAUAUCUAAUGGAAGACCAUAUGUAGAAAAGAAACAUCAUAAUCUUUAACCAUGGACAACAACAACUUCAAACACAAAACCAAGGACUAUAAUAGCUAAACUCUCACAGAAAUCUCUCUCUAGCAUUCUAGUUGAACUUCAACACCAACAUUAGCUAGAGAGCGAGGCAGGCCACACCAACAGAAGCUGGCAGCGACCAGCAAAUGGAGGCUGGGUCGUGACGGCGGCACCGAGAUGGAGGAGGUGCCAGGGCAUGUCAGGCAAAAAUAACUAGGAUUGAAUAGUCUCAAUCAGGUAGGUCGGCGUUAGAAGAAAAGAAAUAGCAAGUACAUCAAGUUUCAGUGCCUCUUUCACACACAGAUGUACAACAAAAUUGGCAUACCUUCUUAUAUAGAUGAACUUGAACCCGUAAAAACUUGUGAGAUAUGAACAUCUUUCGAAAGACAUCGACCGCCUCAGAAAAAUCCCUGGAAUCCUCUGACAUCGUGCAUCAAACUUGGCCUUCAGUCCCAAUAAUAUUAUUUCAGAAUCCUUUAUUCAAUUGCCAUCAACCUGGUUAUCCCCACCUAUCAACUUUACUAUUCUAAAAGUACUAGCUUUUGGCAAAAUGUGUACAAGAUACUCAAGAAAUUGAAGGUGGUUGCAAACAACAUACGAGCUACAGCCUAGCGAUUUUUGCAAGUACGUGAGUGAAGACUUGUGAUUGUUCUGAUUCUGAACUUCCCAUUUUUUGAUUUUGACUUUUGAUUGUUCUUUUUUCGCAGGUGCAGUGCAACUGCCGGUGUUAGGAGGUUGGCUUCGCGACAUCUGGUAGCCUCGUCCACCGCCGCACAGGACGGCAAGGAGGGAAUGAAGGAAAGACAGACCUGGCAGCAAGCGGGGGAGGAGCCGGAGCAGCGCCAUGUCGGGGAUGCAUGGUGUCAGCAGCUAUGUUUUUUAUAAAACCUAAAUUACUUCAUAGAACAUAGUUAAAUAUUUUAACAUCACAAAAAGCUAUGUUUUUUAUACAAAAAGUUGUUCUUCUAGGUAGUAGAACUUGCUUGCGUUGCACACGUUCCUCAACCACACACAUAUUUAUCCUGUCACGUGCUUCCAUUCUCCCCCUAUUUAAGUCUGAACUCGUGUUGCACUACCAAAAGCUAACAUCAAAUGCAAUCCUGAUUAACAUACGAUGCGGAGCAUCAUCUCUGGUCAAAGCGAGGAAGCAUUAAUUAACAAAAUUACACAUUUUUUGUACUCUCCGGCCUUGGGUGUGCUGAGCAAGCUGGGCAGCGACGGCGCUCUUUUCUUGUUGUUGAAACCACGAGUGAUCCAACUAACACAAAGUCAAGUUGAACUUCAUGCUUUUUUAGAGGCAAACCUUGUGUUCAGAAGCCAUGCCCUUGUCAUUUCAGUCGUAUGAACUUCAUAGGAAUUGUAAAUGGAACUCGUGGUUGGUGUUACCUUCUCUUUGCUAGCCAUCUGGUUGAGGAAAGAGAGCACCCGCUGGUUGCCGAGAGAGCCC
rnacentral:lncRNA from 1 species